ensembl:lncRNA
CCAGACUGUCAAGCAACCUCACACAAGCAUGCGUUUUGCUCAUGUGAUUGAGCUACAUGUGUUUACUUUGUUAUAGGUCAACCACUUGAGCCUACCCUCAAGAUGAACUUAAUGUUUGCGGAGGAGAGGCAGCAGCUAUGUAAUGCUGGAACAGGCUGAAAACAGAAUCUAUGCCUUUGAACAAUAGUGAAAAUGCUGGCUGGCUGAACUGGUUAGAUUAUUGUAUAUUGAUGUGUGGACCUAUAGGAAAAGUUACUGCAGUUUCCUGAAGUGUUUGGUGAGAAUAUGGAAACCUAAUAGUUGAGAUCUGUAAGGAAGAAAACGAGGGUCUGAGAAACAGAUGCCAAAGUCUGAAGAGAUCCCAUUGAAACAACCCUGAGGGACGAGUGCUGAGGAAAAGUCCCCCUUCGCCUGGGUCCUCUGGGAGGAAAAUCUGGUGUACGAGGUUAGGAACACAUCUCGGUGUUUUCAAGGCAAGCUGCUUCAUGGAUUCCCCACCCUUUGCAAGUCCAUAUCUCUUUGCAGCCAUUUCCUCACCCACCCUGUGCCCCCAUCCCCAUGCAGAGAAUCACUGUGGGGGCAUGUGCUGGGAUCCCCAGUGCCUGUGGGAACACGGCCCUGGGGCUCACGGGAGCCCCUGCUGCAAGCAGUGGGGAUAAGGCCUGCAUUGUGCCGUGAAGCGCUGGAUGGUGGAGAGCAGCCGAUGUGUGACUCUCAGCGGACGCAGGCACGCACAGAUAAUAGAGCGUUUCAGCUGCCUCUGGGGAGCAUCUGUUGUGAUCUGCCAGAAGAUUCUUUCUGUGGUUUAAACUUUGGCAUAUGAGGAACGCCAAUACUUUAUAUACACAAAAUGUCAGUUAUGUGCCCUCAGGCAGCAAGCUAAAAAUGAUAUUACCCUGAUGAUGGAUAUGGGUCAAGAUAACUUCAGCUACAGUAAGUUUCUUGAUUUAAACUCUAUUGAUGGCUGUGCCAAUCAGCUAAAGUAAAAAUUGAAGGGAGUUGCUGCUUUUCCACUUAUUUAAAAGUGCUUUGAAUAACUCAGGGGGGAGGAAAAUGACUUUCUCACAGGAACCGUCAUCCAGUGCACACACAGUGCAUGGCUGUGGU